UCGAGAAUUUUUCUCAAUGGGCGCAAGCCUGAAGGAGCGACGCCGCGUGGGGGAUGAAGGGUUUCGAUCCGUAAACCCCUGUCAUUCGUGAACAAUGGUUACGAUUGAAUAUUUCGUGACUUGAUAGUAACGGAAGAGGAAGGGACGGCUAACUCUGUGCCAGCAGCCGCGGUAAUACAGAGGUCCCGAGCGUUGUUCGGAUUCACUGGGCGUAAAGGGUGCGUAGGUGGCAUAGAAAGUUUGAUGUGAAAGCUCAGGGCUUAACCCUGAAAUGGCAUUGAAUACUGCUGUGCUGGAGGUUUGGAGGGGGGACUGGAAUUCUUGGUGUAGCAGUGAAAUGCGUAGAUAUCAAGAGGAACACCAGUGGCGAAGGCGAGUCCCUGGACAACACCUGACACUGAGGCACGAAAGCUAGGGGAGCAAACAGGAUUAGAUACCCCCGUAGUCC
rnacentral:rRNA from 1 species